rnacentral:hammerhead_ribozyme from 1 species
AUCCAGUUAACAAGUCCCAAAUAGGACGAAACACGUGUCAAACUGCAU